rnacentral:rRNA from 1 species
GAUGAACGCUGGCGGCGUGCUUAACACAUGCAAGUCGAACGGUGAACGAGGGAGCUUGCUCCCUCCGGAUCAGUGGCGAACGGGUGAGUAACACGUGAGCAAUCUGCCCCGAACUCUGGGAUAAGCGCUGGAAACGGCGUCUAAUACCGGAUACGACGCGCGAAGGCAUCUUCUGCGCGUGGAAAGAAUUUCGGUUCGGGAUGAGCUCGCGGCCUAUCAGCUAGUUGGUGAGGUAACGGCUCACCAAGGCGACGACGGGUAGCCGGCCUGAGAGGGGAACCGGCCACCCUGGGACUGAGAAACGGCCCAGACUCCUACGGGAGGCAGCAGUGGGGAAUAUUGCACAAGGGGCGAAAGCCUGAUGCAGCAACGCCGCGUGAGGGACGACGGCCUUCGGGUUGUAAACCUCUUUUAGUAGGGAAGAAGCGAAAGUGACGGUACCGUAAGAAUAAGCACCGGCUAACUACGUGCCAGCCGCCGCCGUAAUAC